AAGAGAUGUAUCUCCAUAAGAUAUCAACAACUCAAUCCAACAAAUUGAAAUCAUGGCUAAAGCUGCUCAUCUAAGUUCGUCUCCGAGUUUUCUCAUUGGGUUUCUCUUGGUUUUGAUCGUUGCAAACACAGUAUACGUCCGUGGUGAAUGUGUUGUGGGAAAUUCAGUGUGGGUGAAGUCGUGUCCAAGAAGUAAUUGUGAUAGUCUUUGUAGAUUUCAUAGCAAUUUUGUAGUCGGUCAUACUGAAUGCACAGUUGGUCCAUUUCAAACUAAUAUGUGCUUAUGUUGCCGGUAACGAUAUAAAAAGGCAACUUUCGUCGGCAAUCGGCAUGGCACCAAUCAUGUAUCACACUCACUUGUUUGCUUCUUUGUAGUAGUAAGUUCCAUGAACGCGUUAUUUGCUUAAUUGUAUCAGUUUAAUCAUUUCGUUCUCGGAUCUAUUGUUUAUCUAUUAUUAUCUGUUUGUAAUUGUAGUUCUUACGAAUUGCUGGUUAUUUUACCAAA